GGGGAUGACCGGUUUCGACGGGAAGCUCUUUAACAAAACAGCAAGCCAAGUUUGAUAAACACUUGUAAAAAGAUAUCAAAAAAUAAAAGCAAAACCUAACAGUUAUGCUUCUAAUUUCCAAUAUGCUUUGGCAUAUUCUUAAUUAGCGUCCUGACGUUUGGUUCUCGACUGAACUGACUGGGUGUAAACCAAUUCGAGAUGCUAACUAAUUUCUUUUGAUUUAGAGAAAUUUUUUAAAAGAUAAUUAAAUCUUACUUUAGAUUCCUGUUAGUUGGAUAAAUUUAAAGGAAAAAUUAUUAACUAAAUAAGCUUGUAGAAGUUUUGUUUUUAAGUUUUUCGGAUGAGGGUUCGAUUCCCUCCAUCUCCACCA
rnacentral:tmRNA from 6 species